UCUUUCUUUGCUGGCGACCGGCGCACGGGUGAGUAACACGUAUCCAACCUGCCCCUUACUCGGGGAUAGCCUUUCGAAAGAAAGAUUAAUACCCGAUAGCAUAAUGAUUCCGCAUGGUUUCAUUAUUAAAGGAUUCCGGUAAAGGAUGGGGAUGCGUUCCAUUAGGUUGUUGGUGAGGUAACGGCCCACCAAGCCUUCGAUGGAUAGGGGUUCUGAGAGGAAGGUCCCCCACAUUGGAACUGAGACACGGUCCAA
rnacentral:rRNA from 1 species